rnacentral:rRNA from 1 species
UACGAAGGGGACUAGCGUUGUUCGGAAUCACUGGGCGUAAAGCGCACGUAGGCGGAUAUGUCAGUCAGGGGGUGAAAAUCCCCGGGGGCUUUAACCUCGGAACUGCCUUUGAUACAGCAUAUCUUGAGUCCGAUAGAGGUGGGUGGAAUUCCUAGUGUAGAGGUGAAAUUCGUAGAUAUUAGGAAGAACACCGGUGGCGAAGGCGGCCCACUGGAUCGGUACUGACGCUGAGGUGCGAAAGCGUGGGGAGCAAACAGG